rnacentral:rRNA from 1 species
CUCAGUUCGGAUUGUAGUCUGCAACUCGACUACAUGAAGCUGGAAUCGCUAGUAAUCGCGAAUCAGAAUGUCGCGGUGAAUACGUUCCCGGGUCUUGUACACACCGCCCGUCACACCAUGGGAGUUGGGAAUGCCCGAAGCCGGUGACCUAACCGAAAGGGAGGAGCCGUCGAAGGCAGGCUUGAUAACUGGGGUGAAGUCGUAACAAGGUACC